GAAAGGCCAAUCAAACCGGGAGAUAGCUGGUUCUCCCCGAAAGCUAUUUAGGUAGCGCCUCGUGAAUUCAUCUCCGGGGGUAGAGCACUGUUUCGGCAAGGGGGUCAUCCCGACUUACCAACCCGAUGCAAACUGCGAAUACCGGAGAAUGUUAUCACGGGAGACACACGGCGGGUGCUAACGUCCGUCGUGAAGAGGGAAACAACCCAGACCGCCAGCUAAGGUCCCAAAGUCAUGGUUAAGUGGGAAACGAUGUGGGAAGGCCCAGACAGCCAGGAUGUUGGCUUAGAAGCAGCCAUCAUUUAAAGAAAGCGUAAUAGCUCACUGGUCGAGUCGGCCUGCGCGGAAGAUGUAACGGGGCUAAACCAUGCACCGAAGCUGCGGCAGCGACGCUUAUGCGUUGUUGGGUAGGGGAGCGUUCUGUAAGCUUGCGAAGGUGUGCUGUGAGGCAUGCUGGAGGUAUCAGAAGUGCGAAUGCUGACAUAAGUAACGAUAAAGCGGGUGAAAAGCCCGCUCGCCGGAAGACCAAGGGUUCCUGUCCAACGUUAAUCGGGGCAGGGUGAGUCGACCCCUAAGGCGAGGCCGAAAGGCGUAGUCGAUGGGAAACAGGUUAAUAUUCCUGUACUUGGUGUUACUGCGAAGGGGGGACGGAGAAGGCUAUGUUGGCCGGGCGACGGUUGUCCCGGUUUAAGCGUGUAGGCUGGUUUUCCAGGCAAAUCCGGAAAAUCAAGGCUGAGGCGUGAUGACGAGGCACUACGGUGCUGAAGCAACAAAUGCCCUGCUUCCAGGAAAAGCCUCUAAGCAUCAGGUAACAUCAAAUCGUACCCCAAACCGACACAGGUGGUCAGGUAGAGAAUACCAAGGCGCUUGAGAGAACUCGGGUGAA
rnacentral:rRNA from 1 species